rnacentral:lncRNA from 1 species
CCCUCCCUGCCGGGCCUGCAGCCAAGUCACCCACUGCAGGAGACUCAGAGGCCAGGCUGGGGUGCCCCCUGCCCGUCAUGGGGUCGGGCUGAAGGACACAGAGAGGGUCUGAGCAGUGUGGGAUUUGAGUCUUUGCCUUGCUCAGUGAGGCCCAGAGCCGGGCCCACUCAGGUAGGAUGGUUGGUAUUUGUCCUCUACUGAGCACAUGCCAUGACUUUCAGCCUACAGAAGAGGAACUGUCCAGCGGCCGUCCUGUGUCCUCCUGCCUGUGCACCCCCUGCAAGUCCCCUGACGUCUCCCCUCAGCGCACAGCCUUAUUAAGACACGGGGUCUUCACAGAGGUGGCUAAGCUACACUGAAGUCAUUAAGAUGUCCCCACUCCAACACAGCAGUCCCCAUAAGAAGAGAUCAGGACACGGACACACAGAGGGUGGCCUAUGAGGAGAUGCCACCUGUCAGCCAAGGAUGGGGCUCAGUAGGGACCCCCCCAAACACCUGCUCUGGGACUUGUGGCCUCCAGGGCAAGACAGCAUCGAGUGCUGGUGACGCCACCUGGUCUGUGGUUUGCUCUGCAGCCCUGGGCUUGCGACAGCGUUGUCACAUCACAGAUCACACAGUGGUAUCCCUCCAUGAGUGUGAUCCCCAGCACAGUGAUGUGGGGACAGGGCACAUCCUCCUUUAGACGGGUCACACCUGGCAGGAUGGGCUCUGUCCCAGGCCAAGGAUGAGUCUACUGCUGGCCCUCUGGUGCGCUGGCCAGUGCCCAUCGCCCGCUUCUCUGGGCCACCUGCCCUGCUCAUGGCCCCUGGUGCGGUCACCCUGUCCGUGAGGACAGCAGUCCCUCUGUGCAUCCAAGGAGAUGGAGGAGGUUCAGGAGACCUGCCUCUGAAGGCCACCCCUCCAGGGCUGGGUGGAGGAGUGCAGGUGGCCGUGUGGGCCCUCACAGGUGUUGGCGCCCCCCUGCACACCCUGGGGGCCAGGCAGCUGCUCUGCAGUGCCCUACGCCGCCCCUCGUCCAACCAGCACCUUGUCUGGCUGCCUCAGGACGCAUGGGGACCCUGUCCCAAGUGACAUAGCUUACCUGCCUGGGCCCAGCAGGUUCUCAUAACGAGUAUGCAUGUCCACCCAACGGUCAGUCUGCACCCGGGUGGGCCCCUGCAGCAGGGAGGGCAAUGUGUGCCGUUUCACACCCCCACGCUCAGGAGGCUGAGCAUCCAGCUAAGGCUGUCCCCUGCAGACUGCGCUGACCGCAGGACCUGCAGACCCUAACGGGGUCCCCACCUCAUGGCUCUCGCUGUGCUACCCCAGAGCCCCAUAGCUGGUCAUCGUCUGCACGGCACCUCUGAGGUGUGACGAUCACCCAGCCCUGCAGACAUGGGACCUGAGGGACAAUGUGGCUAAGGGUGUUGUGGGUUGGUGUCCCCCAGAAAGGUACGUCCAUGUCCCAGAACCUGUGAAGAUGAAGUAAUCUGAAGAGUCCCCGCUGACGUGAUCCAGUUAAAGAUCUAGAGACGUGGUCAUUCUGGGUUAUCUGGGUGGGCUCAGGUUGCAGUGACCGGUGCCCUCGAAGUAGGAGAGAACACAGGGAGAGCAGAGGAGCCGUGGGAAGACAAAAGCAGAGGACACAGCCACAAGCCAGAAGCCACCAGGAGCUGCAGGAGGAGGAAGGGUCCCCCCCGGGAGUCUGCAGAGGGAGCAUGACCCUGCCACCCCUUGAUCUGGGGCUUCUGACCCUUAGAAUGUCAAGAAGAAUCUGGGAGCCACUGUGACGUGUGUCCAUCCUGCAGCCCCAGGACACAGGUCCACUUUGCCUCGUCGCCCUGCCAGGCGCUGUGGCGAGUGCCCAGAGUCCCCCUCCUGAUGACCAGCGUGGCGUGUUGGGAAGUGUGAACACGGCCCUUGCCCUUCCUGCUGGAUGCCAAGCACUUCCUGCCCGUGACAUUCUGCAACGGGGCUGCCAGGCUGGUGCUCGAGUCCCAGGGUCGACGAGACGGACCCCUCCCCGCCACGGCACUGUUGAGGGCUGAUGCCCAGCCUCUUCCCUGGGCAUGCCUGACCCUGUGCUGGGUCCCCGGGCACCAAAUGAGCACGUGUCUACGUGUUCACCAUGUUUCUGCCAGGUUGCUUGAGGGCAGGGACCCCCGGGCUCCUGUGCUGUGGGGGUUCAACACCCUGGACCAGAGCGUCUAGUGGCAUGGAGAGCUUCUGCCCUGGGAGCAUCCCAGAUCCCCAGGACCCUCUUGGGAACCACUAUGGGCAGCAAGGCAUUACUCAGUAACUGCAUUUUGUCAAUUUAGAUUUCAGCCCAUCAGACUUCCUUGGAGUGGAUCCCCAGAAAACCCCCCAGGUCAUGCUCGGGGAUGCACCAGUGCCAGGGUUCUUCUUUGCUGGGCACAGGUCAGGUGGGGAGUGCUGCCACUCAGGCUGGAAGGGACACCUCCCCUGGGCUCCCACACCAGUGCGCAGGGGAGCUGGCUUCCCGGCAGUCUGAGUUCUAGUGCCUUCCGUGACUCUUGGGCUCUUCCAUCAGCCUCGGGUUGCAGCUGAGGCUAUUUCCAACCCAGUGAGAUACGGAAGGCCUUGGGGUCAGCUCUGAGAGAGAAAGGCACCAUCAAGAGCUGCGCUGCGACAAGGGCCCUGAGUGGACAAAGGGAGGGACACCCCAGUCUGUCCUCUUUGCUGCACUGCCCGCCUGGGUUGAGUCUGAAUGACAGCGAGGCGGGGCGAACCCCACCCCCUGCCCAGCUGCCCUCCAGCUCCUGUGUGCUGGGGGUGGCCUGGGACACUGGCCCUGGGCCUGGCUUGCUCAGAGCUGCCCCUUGGUCCAAACUGAACCUGGCUAAGCUGGGGCUCCCGUAAGGCCGGCCCUGGAGAAGAGGACCCAAGCGUCUCCUUGGCAUCUGGAGCAGCCAACAGGGUCCCACCUGGCCUGGGUCCUGCGACUGAGGGGCGUCUGGCCUCAUCCCUGGUGUGUCCACUGGGAGCCUCCUGGGGAUGGAAAUCGCCAUCACACUCCCAUCCUUGGAUCCUAUUUUGAUACAAAGUUCGAGUACAUAGCGCUGACCCUGUGUGCCGCUUGGCCUGGUCAUCUGACCCGUCCAGCUGCAGGGACCCACCCUUUCCCGGAUGUUUCCAAUGUGACCGACCCACCCUCGUCUCUCCCGAGUCCAGUUGUCCAGGUGCUGAAGGGCUCUGGCCAGGACUGAGGGUCAAGAAGGAGAGCACACAGGUGCGCUGGACUCAGACACGCAUGAACACACUUGCCCGCGCACCUUCAGGUGGGCAUACGGGCAAACACACAUGCACAAGCACCCCUCACACAAAGCAAGCAUGUGCACUCACAUAUAUGUGCACACAGCACAUAGUCACACAGCAUACACAGACACACAAGCACACACACAGCACACACAGACACACAAGCACACACAGACACACAAGCACACUGACACAAACACAGACACAAAAGCACACAGACACACAAGCACACAGAUACACAAACACAGACACACAAACCCAGACACACAAGCACACUGUUGAGAGCCACAGCCAAGUCGGGAUGGCGCCUGGCAUUUUGCCAGAAGGAGUGGUUGGGAGGUGACAUCAGCGAGCCAUUGGGAUGAUGGUGAUUAAGUUAAGCUGUGUAUGAUUAUUGGGAUGGUGACUGAUUGCUGUAACUGGAUGAUGCUGGAUUGGGGCAAGCUGUGUAUUCAGUUGUGUAUGUGGACCUCUGCUGUCCGGCAGUGGGGCGGCUCCUACUGCCUUGGGUGCCCACUACUUUUGAGUUCUCGCAGAGUUCCCGUUGGUUCUCGCGGAGUUUCCGUGGAGUUCUAGAGAGUUCCCAUUGGGUUCAGGCAAUAAAGUAGUUCCUGUUUGAACCUACAAGUGGCUCGUGUUCUCCCGGUUAAUUUGUGUCCAGCCAGACUGCGGCAGCACACACACACGCAAGCACAGACAGAGGGUGGGCUCCCUUUGCUCCCUGAACCCCUUGUUCACACUGUCCCUGAGGCUCUCCGGCCCGGCUGCAUCCUGGGUGCCCAGGCCCUGCGGGGAGUAGAACCCUGCCCUGCGGCACAGCCGAGACGCGAGGCGUGGUCAGUCCUGCUGGACAGCAGUGUGGGCACAGGCUUUCUGGGGCCCCACGGAAGGGCUGCUCAGAGCUGGGGACACUGCCACAUCCUCUCAGAGCGGACUUCUCUGGGCCACAGGGCACAGAGUGACAGUGGGCUGUGAGUGUCAGGUGUCCUGCGUGGUCUGCUGGCCAGCCCCCCACCGCGCAGAGCCCACCUUAGCCCCCUCCUCCAGCUCUGCCUCCUCCUUCCAUUUGUC